CCCCUUCCUCCAGGUUUGGUGAAUGACCAACCAGACCCUCAAGACUGCCAUGGGCAAGUCUCUUGAUUGGUAUCAGGAAGGGUGGGAGAACAACCUGAAGAUCACUGAAACCCCACCUGAUGUGGUGGAAGUUGUCGAACCAGAUCAGAACGCCGUUGAGUACUACCUUCAGGCACAGACUGAGAAGGACGUGGAGGUUUUUGACCAGGUGAGACUGAACAUGGACAAUAUGGACAGUAAUAUGGACUGAACAUGGACAGUAACAUGGACAGCAAUAUCAUUAUUUUUUAAUUAAUUUUUU
ensembl:lncRNA